UCUGUCUUAGUUUUGGUCAAAGUCAUUUUUCUAUCCUUCAAAGCUGGGUAAUUUGUAGGACAUUAGAUCAAGACUUUGACAACAGGCACAUGAUGGUGGAUAGACUUUUUCUGUGUUUUGAUUUUAGAAAUUUCAAUGCACUGCUUGGGGCUGUAACUUCUACCCUUUCCUUUAUGGACUAUGUAAGUAUUUUAGCAAGAAUCAUCUACUUGACUAUCAAGGAAAUCGCUAUUUCUUUUGAUGGACAAACUUAGCUAAUUUCAAAGAGUGUUAGUCAUUUUGCAAAUACCCGUGGGCAUGUCCUAGAUCACAUGGACAUAAGGCCCUGGAAAUACACUCAGCUGAUCACUGCCUCUUGGCAAUCCCAUGGAAUACUCAGCUGAAAAAGCCCCAUCUUAAGUCUUACUAAAGCUGCCAGCAGCAUCAGCUAACAGAUGAACUGUAUUAAAUCUCUCCUCCUCCUCCUCUUCCUCCUCCUCUUCUUCCUCUUGCUCCUCCUCCUCUUCCUCUUCUUUUUCUUCUUCCAUUUAUUUAUUUUAUUUUUAGGUGUACAAUGUAGUAGCCAUCCUCAGACACACCAGAAGAGGGCAUUGAAUCCCAUUACAGAUGGUUGUGAACCACCAUGUGGUUGCUGGGAACUGAACUCAGGACCCCUGCAAGAGCAGUCAGUGCUCUUACCACUGAGCCAUCUCUCCAGCCCUCUCUUUU
rnacentral:lncRNA from 1 species